ensembl:lncRNA
UUUAAAACGAAGACAAGACAUUCAAGUAUUCAACUUGUAUUUAUCUUUUCAAUAUCUUUUAUAGUUUUUCUUCAGUUCCAGUUUAAGUUUCAUGAUGUUUUUUCACCCGUUUCAGAGUUUAUAAUGGGUGUGUAUGGGACGGAAUGUUGGAAGUUAGAGUGAGACAGCUCAACUGUUAGAGUGAAAGCAGGUUGAAAAUUAAUCUUAAAAUCUUUUUUUAAACUGCUGCUGUGUCCACAGCGUUUGCUCUACAGCCAUCAUUUUACCCUCAAAACGUAGCCAUCGCUGUCCUCUUUCAUCCAAUGUGUUUACUAUUGUACUAGGUGUUAUGGUUCUUUCAUAAAUGUCACCAAUGCACAGUACAAUAGUAAACACAUUGGAUGAAAGAGGACAGCGAUGGCUACGUUUUGAGGGUAAAAUCAUACCUGUAGAGCAAACGCUGCGGACACAGCAGCAGUUUUAAAAAAUAUUUUAAGAUUAAUUUUUUUGCUCCUCUCACUCUAGCAGUUGAGCUGUCUCACUCUAGCCCCAAAAUUCCGUCCCAUACACACCCAUUAUAAACUCUGAAACGGCUGAAAAAUCAUCAUGAAACUUAAACUGGAACUGAAGAAAAAGUAUAAUAGAUAUUGAAAAGAUAAAAACAAGUUGAAUAGUUGAAUGUCUUGUCUUCGUUUUAAAGUUUGAAUGGUGGAUCUAUGUCAACGUAUGUGGAAGUAGUAGGAGUUUAAAAAUGAGUAAGUUGAAUGAGGAUUUGAAGGGUCUCCCCAUUGAAAUACAUGGGAAAUUUUUGUUGAAAAAAGUUGAAUAAAAUUAAAAAUAUAAAUGUUAAAAAUGAGAAAAAUAGAAGCAGUCAUGUCCAAAAGAAGAGGAAUCUAACGGUGUUUGAAUGGUUUUUCUAAGUUGAACGGUUUUGAAGUAGUAGGACUACAAAAAACGUACGGAAUAGAUAAUAAUAAUAAAAUAGAACUAGAAAGUGCAUUUUCUGAAGAAACUGCAGUGUGAAUGCUUGAAUCUGAAUGUAUUCACUGAAAUAAAUUAAUUGCUGAAUUUUAAGUUAAAAAUGUUGAAUGAGAUGAAAAAUACAGAAAUUUGCACCUGAAAACAAAAGUGCUGAACUGCUAAAAGCUGAAAUCCACACAGAAGAAGUUGGAAAAGAGCUGAAAAUGUUUUAAAUGUAAAUUAGAAAAACCUAAGUAAUGAGAAAAGAAAAUUUAGAGUCAGAAAACAUCUGAAUGAAUAUUAAAAGUUCAUAUUCUUUGAAUCACUGAAUGACUGAAAUGUGUGAUCCCUCCACUUGUAUCCACACAGUUUAAAAAGUUUAUAUUUCUGAGCUUUGAAAGACAUGCUGUUGGAAAGAGAACAUCGAUGGCGAGGUUUUGAGGGUAAAAUGAUGGCUGUAGGGCAAACACUGUGGACACAGCAGCAGUUGAAAGAGAAGUGUUUAAAAUGAAUCUUGGCACAGUGAGAGAGGGAGCUCGUUAGGCAGGCAGGUGUGAGCCUGGUUGCUAUAGUGACUGCACCCAAUGGCCCCAUGGACACGCAGACAUGCACCUCACUUUUGCUGCUUAAAAUGAACAGAAAAGUCAGGCCGAAACAAAUCGCUCCCAAAUGAAAAGUAUAAGUCGUAUUGACAAAAUUC